rnacentral:rRNA from 1 species
UACGUAGGGUCCGAGCGUUGUCCGGAAUUAUUGGGCGUGAAGGGCUCGUAGGCGGUCUGUUGCGUCGGGAGUGAAAACUUACAGCUUAACUGUGAGCGUGCUUCCGAUACGGGCAGACUUGAGGUAUUCAGGGGAGAACGGAAUUCCUGGUGUAGCGGUGAAAUGCGCAGAUAUCAGGAGGAACACCGGUGGCGAAGGCGGUUCUCUGGGAAUAUCCUGACGCUGAGGAGCGAAAGUGUGGGGAGCGAACAGG